rnacentral:rRNA from 1 species
AUUGAACGCUGGCGGCAGGCUUAACACAUGCAAGUCGAGCGGGGUGAUGGUGCUUGCACUAUCACUUAGCGGCGGACGGGUGAGUAAUGCUUAGGAAUCAGCCUAUUAGUUGGGGACAACAUCUCGAAAGGGAUGCUAAUACCUCAUACGUCCCACGGGAGAAAGCAGGGGAUCACUUGUGACCUUGCGCUAAUAGAUUAGCCGAAGUCGGAGUAGGUAGUUGGUGGGGUAAAGGCCUACCAAGGCGACGAUCUGUAGCGGGUCGUGGAGGAUGAUCCGCCACACUGGGACUGAGACACGGCCCAGACUCCUACGGGAGGCAGCAGUGGGGAAUAUUGGACAAUGGGGGGAACCCUGAUCCAGCCAUGCCGCGUGUGUGAAGAAGGCCUUAUGGUUGUUAAGCACUUUAAGCGAGGAGGAGGCUCUUUUGGUUAAUACCCAAGAUGAGUGGACGUUACUCGCAGAAUAAGCACCGGCUAACUCUGUGCCAGCCGCCGCGGUAA